GCACAAGCGGCGGAGCAUGCGGAUUAAUUCGAUGCAACGCGAAGAACCUUACCAAGGCUUGACAUACGACCGGUAACGCCCAGAGAUGGGUGCCCCUUUGUGGUCGGUGGACGGGUGGUGCAUGGUUGUCGUCAGCUCGUGUCGUGAGAUGUUGGGUUAAGUCCCGCAACGAGCGCAACCCUCGUCCUAUGUUGCCAGCGGGUCAUGCCGGGGACUCAUGGGAGACUGCCGGGGUCAACUCGGAGGAAGGUGGGGAUGACGUCAAAUCAUCAUGCCCCUUAUGUCUUGGGCUUCACGCAUGCUACAAUGGCCGGUACAAAGGGCUGCGAUACCGCGAGGUGGAGCGAAUCCCAGAAAGCCGGUCUCAGUUCGGAUUGGGGUCUGCAACUCGACCCCAUGAAGUCGGAGUCGCUAGUAAUCGCAGAUCAGCAACGCUGCGGUGAAUACGUUCCCGGGCCUU
rnacentral:rRNA from 1 species